rnacentral:sRNA from 1 species
UGUAAUGGCAACGGCGCAGGUCGCUGAAA